rnacentral:misc_RNA from 1 species
ACAUAAAUAAUUACAAAAUAAUAUUUAAAAAAAUUAAGUUUUAAUAAUAUUUGCUGAGUAUAAAGUUAGGCUUUGGCAAGGUAAAAUUUAAGACAAAUAAAUAAUCAUAAAAUUAACUCUUGACAUUGAUUUUCAUAAAUCAUAAAUUAAACAGUAAGCUUGCAACCUUAGCCAAUGAUCAAGGAUUCUAAUUUCAGUCUUAGGAUCAAGUCGAGAUAAUCAAGAAUCUCUUAGACA